rnacentral:rRNA from 1 species
AAAAACAGGUUAAUAUUCCGUACCAUGGUCAGUUGUUCUAUCGAUGGAGUGACGCAGGAAGUUAUACCCGCACGGAAAGAAAUUGCCGUGUCGAACGGUGUAGGCAGUGAUCGCAGGCAAAUCCGCGGUUGCUAUUAAGCUGAGGCCGGACAGGCCACCGAAUCAAGUAGGUGGAAGGAGUAGAUACUACGCUGCCGAGAAAAGCUUCUAAGAGAGACUGAUUGUGACCGUACCGUAAACCGACACAGGUGGGUGAGGAGAAUAUCCUAAGGCGCUCGAAAGAACCCACGUUAAGGAACUCGGCAAAUUAACUCCGUAACUUCGGGAGAAGGAGUGCUCCGGUAGGGUGACUGGAAUACAUAGGAAACUUUGUAUCGAAAGGUAGCCCGAUGGAGUCGCAGAGAAUAGGCUCAGGCGACUGUUUAUCAAAAACACAGGACUCUGCUAAAGCGAAUAGCCGACGUAUAGGGUCUGAUGCCUGCCCAAUGCUGGAAGGUUACGGGGAGGAGUCAGGAGUGGUAACAUUCCGAAGCUCUGAACUUAAGCCCCAGUGAAUGGCGGCCGUAACGAUAACGGUCCUAAGGUAGCGAAAUCCCUUGUCAGGUAAGUUCUGACCCGCAUGAAUGGCUUAACGGUCUGAGCACUGUCUCAACGUGGGGUUCGGCGAAACUGUGCACCGGGUGAAGACGCCGGUAUCCGCAUCAGGACAAAAAGACCCCGUGGAGCUUUACUGUAUCUUGAUAUUGGAUUUUGGCCUGUUAUGUAGAGCAUAGGUGGGAGACUAUGAAGUUAGGGCGCCAGCCUUGGCGGAGUCGACAAUGGAAUACCACCCUUAUCAGUCUGGAAUUCUAACCUUGGCCCGUUGAUCCGGGUCGGGGACAGUGUCAGGUGGGCAGUUUGACUGGGGCGGUCGCCUCCUAAAGAGUAACGGAGGCGUUCAAAGGUUCCCUCAGCGUGAUUGGAAACCACGCGUAGAGUGUAAAGGCAAAAGGGAGCUUGACUGUGAGGCAAACGAGCCGAUCAGGGACGAAAGUCGGACUUAGUGAUCCGGUGGUACCGAAUGGAAGGGCCAUCGCUCAACGGAUAAAAGCUACCCCGGGGAUAACAGGCUUAUCUCUCCCAAGAGUUCAUAUCGACGGGGAGGUUUGGCACCUCGAUGUCGGCUCAUCGCAUCCUGGGGCUGGAGUAGGUCCCAAGGGUUGGGCUGUUCGCCCAUUAAAGCGGUACGUGAGCUGGGUUCAGAACGUCGUGAGACAGUUCGGUCUCUAUCCGAUGCGGACGUAGGAUGAUUGCGGGGCUCUGCUCUUAGUACGAGAGGACCGGAGUGGACAAACCGAUGGUGAACCAGUUGUCUUGUCAGAGGCACCGCUGGGUAGCUAAGUUUGGAUGGGAUAACCGCUGAAGGCAUCUAAGUGGGAAACCCACCUCAAGAUUAAUCAUCCCAAUCGAUCGAAAGACGAUGUAAGGGACCAUGUAGACUACGUGGUGAUAGGCCAGAGGUGUAAGCGUCGCGAGGCGUUAAGCUGACUGGUACUAAUAUCCCGAGGAUUUACCCGA